ACAGGGUGAGACCCUGUCUCAAGAAAGAACAACAAGAAAGGGAUUGUCAGCUGACCUCUGUCCUGUGGGCCCAGUGGCCCCAGGUGACAUUUCUUCAAGAAGAGGCUGAACUGUGGUGCUUGUAAGGUGGGUCCGCUGUGUGCCGAGGCUCCAUGGGAUGUGUCGUCUUCAUAGCAGCAGGGCUCUGGACCAUGGGUCCCUAAGGUCUCAGCCUUAGAUUCAAGGACAGUCCAAGGAAGUCCUAAGACCAUGGAGUUGGUGACCUGGGAUCUGGGUUUGCUGAUAUUUCUUACCAUGAAUCUCUUGGUGGUGUUUAUGGACACCAGAGGGGCAGAGAAUAGAGAGUGAGGCCACCACAUGAAGCGUCACCAGAGCUGCUCCCUGCUGCCUGCUCAGAGCACCCCGGAUCCACUGUUCAAUCUGCACAAGAUUCGGGGUCCAGACGUGGGAGACUUCAGCUGCCUUGGAGGACCGUGGACAGGGAAGGCCAGCCCUGCAUCCCUCUGGCCAUGCCUGGAAUGACUUUAAUAACAAGAGUUUUAUUCUUGAAUUUGUAGCUGUCGUUCACUUUUUACCCACCCAUUCAAUAAACCUUACAGAAUUGCUCCAUCUGCCUCUUAAAUCAGUGACAACCCGUGAGCCUGCAAGACUGGCUUUGGAGAAGAAUGGAUUAUACCACGGCAAGAGUGGAAGCAGGGUGACCAGUUGGAAGAUUAUGGCAGUUGUGUAGGUGAGAGAUACUGGUGACUUGGACUAGGGAGAUAGAGGUAGACAGCAAGAUAGAUAUCUAUGUUCCAAGAGAGAAAGGUGAAGAUACAAUUUUAGGUGAAUGAAGCUCAGAGCAGGGAAGUAUGUAAAAUGUGAUAUACCAUUUUUUUUUUGGUUAAAA